UGAGGAAAGUCCGUGCAUCCAAGGACAGACCGCCGGAGAAACUCCGGACGACGUGAGUCGGUGGAUAGGACCACAGAAAUGUAGACUGCCGAUGGAAAGAAAUUUCACAGGCGAUGGUGCAACGGUGAGUUAAGAGCUUCACCAACGGUAUUGAGAAAUAUCGGUUAGGCAACCCCCGGUCGGAUGCAAGAUUAAACGGAAGGUUUUAACGCGGUCCGCUACUUCCGAAAAAUCGCUAGAGAUUGGCAGUAAUGCCAAUACCAGACAGAUGAUUAUCUUGAAACAGAACACGGCUUAUGAGCUGCUUU
rnacentral:RNase_P_RNA from 1 species